rnacentral:rRNA from 1 species
CAGCAGCCACGGGAAUACGGAGGGCGCGAGCGUUACCCGGAUUUACUGGGCGUAAAGGGCGUGUAGGCGGCCUGGGGCGUCCCAUGUGAAAGGCCACGGCUCAACCGUGGAGGAGCGUGGGAUACGCACAGGCUAGAGGGUGGGAGAGGGUGGUGGAAUUCCCGGAGUAGCGGUGAAAUGCGCAGAUACCGGGAGGAACGCCGAUGGCGAAGGCAGCCACCUGGUCCACUUCUGACGCUGAGGCGCGAAAGCGUGGGGAGCAAACCGGAUUAGAUACCCCCGUAGUCCCUGUCUCUUAUAC